GUCGAGAAUAAUUCACAAUGGACGAAAGUCUGAUGGUGCAACGCCGCGUGGAGGAUGAAGGUCUUCGGAUUGUAAACUCCUGUCAUCGGGGAGUAAGACCUGGCGGUAAAUAGCCGACAGGGUUGAUAGUACCCGAAGAGGAAGGGACGGCUAACUUCGUGCCAGCAGCCGCGGUAAUACGGAGGUCCCAAGCGUUGUUCGGAAUCACUGGGCGUAAAGGGAGCGUAGGCGGCGUGGUAAGUCAGAUGUGAAAUCCCGGGGCUCAACCCCGGAACUGCAUCCGAUACUGCCAUGCUUGAGGGUUGGAGAGGUAGCUGGAAUUCUCGGUGUAGCAGUGAAAUGCGUGGAUAUCGAGAGGAACACUCGUGGCGAAGGCGAGCUACUGGACAACAUCUGACGCUGAGGCUCGAAGGCCAGGGGAGCAAAAGGGAUUAGAUACCCUAGUAGUCC
rnacentral:rRNA from 1 species